rnacentral:rRNA from 1 species
AACCCCUGUGAACAUACCACUUGUUGCCUCGGCGGAUCAGCCCGCUCCCGGUAAAACGGGACGGCCCGCCAGAGGACCCCUAAACUCUGUUUCUAUAUGUAACUUCUGAGUAAAACCAUAAAUAAAUCAAAACUUUCAACAACGGAUCUCUUGGUUCUGGCAUCGAUGAAGAACGCAGCAAAAUGCGAUAAGUAAUGGGAAUUGCAGAAUUCAGUGAAUCAUCGAAUCUUUGAACGCACAUUGCGCCCGCCAGUAUUCUGGCGGGCAUGCCUGUUCGAGCGUCAUUUCAACCCUCAAGCACAGCUUGGUGUUGGGACUCGCGUUAAUUCGCGUUCCCCAAAUUGAUUGGCGGUCACGUCGAGCUUCCAUAGCGUAGUAGUAAAACCCUCGUUACUGGUAAUCGUCGCGGCCACGCCGUUAAACCCCAACUUCUGAAUGUUGACCUCGGAUCAGGUAGGAAUACCCGCUGAACUUAAGCAUAUCA